CGAUUUUUGUCGAACUACGUCAUACCGGAAGUGAAAGAUACAGCAACACGUAAAAAUGUUACCAGUGAAAACGCAUCUUGACCAGUUUCCAGAGUUAGAUAAAGAUAGAUAUGAUAGCAUCGUUAAGGAGAACGAAGAAAAGGAUUCACAAGAAAUGAAACAUUUGGCAAAUUGCCCCAGGACUGGAAAGGCUAAAGGAGUAAAAUGAAGUACACAAGAAAUUAGAAUUCAGACAUGUGCUGCAGCUAGAAACAGAUAUGGGAAUAUUUUGCAUAUAAAAUCCAGAGAAUGAAUCAAUGGGGAUAGGACAUAUCUUAUUUACUAAAAAGUGUUUCCUGACAUGCCUGAGGAACUUGAAGGCUGUUUGUUAAAGAUAAGAAAACAACUUCAGCAUGCAAGAAAGAAGAAACAUAGUUUGGAAUCAAAUCUUUGACAUUAAUUUAAUUCAUUUUUGUUGCUUAUAUUUAUAUGAAAAUUAAAGUUGACUAAAACAUAA